rnacentral:sRNA from 1 species
GAAUAGUAACUCUGGCGGUGACACCUCUCAGCUAGUCGAUCACCAGGGUUGAUUCGGCUGAUCUGGCUGCCUAGGUGGGUGUCCCCUUCCUCGCUCAUAAUUCCAUGUGUUUCUCUCCUGAUGCUGCACACUUCGUGGAAGAGGAUGACCAUCUCAGAUAGUGGGGGUGUACCAUUUUUCAUUUGAGGGUAUGUAAAUUGCAACAUUUUGCUUGUAUCAGCAGUGGUGCCAGUUUUGAUAACAGGAAGUGGGAGCAGUCAUUGGGACAACCAAAACAAGUAAGCACGCUGCAUGAAGCCUUCAUAU